UGGGGAAUAUUGCACAAUGGGCGCAAGCCUGAUGCAGCCAUGCCGCGUGUGUGAAGAAGGCCUUCGGGUUGUAAAGCACUUUCAGCGAGGAGGAAGGUGGUGAACUUAAUACGUUCAUCAAUUGACGUUACUCGCAGAAGAAGCACCGGCUAACUCCGUGCCAGCAGCCGCGGUAAUACGGAGGGUGCAAGCGUUAAUCGGAAUUACUGGGCGUAAAGCGCACGCAGGCGGUUUGUUAAGUCAGAUGUGAAAUCCCCGGGCUCAACCUGGGAACUGCAUUUGAAACUGGCAAGCUAGAGUCUCGUAGAGGGGGGUAGAAUUCCAGGUGUAGCGGUGAAAUGCGUAGAGAUCUGGAGGAAUACCGGUGGCGAAGGCGGCCCCCUGGACGAAGACUGACGCUCAGGUGCGAAAAGCGUGGGGAGCAAAACAGGAUUAGAUACCCUGGUAGUCCACGCUGUAAAACGAUGUCGAUUUUGGAGGUUGUGCCCUUGAGGCGUGGCUUCCGGAGCUAACGCGUUAAAUCGACCGCCUGGGGAGUACGGCCGCAAGGUUAAAACUUAAAUGAAUUG
rnacentral:rRNA from 1 species